GACGAACGCUGGCGGCGUGCUUAACACAUGCAAGUCGUGCGGUAAGGCCCUUUCGGGGGUACACGAGCGGCGGACGGGUGAGUAACACGUGAGCAACCUGCCCUUCACUUUGGGAUAACUGCCGGAAACGGUGGCCAAUACCGGAUAUGACUUCCUCACGCAUGUGGGGUGGUGGAAAGCCUUCGGGUGGUGGGGGGUGGGCUCGCGGUCUAUCAGCUUGUUGGUGGGGUGAUGGCCUACGAAGGCCUUGACGGGUAGCCGGCCUGGGAGGGUGACCGGCCACACUGGUACUGCGACACGGCCCAGAAUCCUACGGGAGGCAGCAGUGGGAAAUAUUGCACAAUGGGCGAAAGCCUGAUCCAGCAACGCCGCGUGAGGGAUGACGGCCUUCGGGUUGUAAACCUCUUUCGCCUGCGACGAAGCGAGAGUGACGGUAGCAGGUAAAGAAGCACCGGCCAACUACGUG
rnacentral:rRNA from 1 species